AAGGCUUGACAGGAUAGAGGCGCUGUAGUAUAAAGAAGAUAACAAUUUGAAUUAUAUAGGAAAGGGAAGGCUGUGUGAAUCAGCCGCGGUCCCGCCGCUGUAAGGGAUGACGAAACCUGCAAAGACCACUGGCCUAAAGAGGCCGGGAAGGCGCAGGCGGUAGAGUGAAUCCUAAGUCAGAAGACCUGCCUGUAUAAAAGUAAGAAC
rnacentral:ncRNA from 2 species